rnacentral:rRNA from 1 species
ACGGAAGGCAGCAGUAGGGAAUCUUCCACAAUGGGCGAAAGCCUGAUGGAGCAAUGCCGCGUGAGUGAUGAAGGUCUUCGGAUUGUAAAGCUCUGUUGCCAGGGAAGAACGCUUAGGAGAGUAACUGCUCCUAAGGUGACGGUACCUGAGAAGAAAGCCCCGGCUAACUACGUGCCAGCAGCCGCGGUAAUACGUAGGGGGCAAGCGUUGUCCGGAAUUAUUGGGCGUAAAGCGCGCGCAGGCGGUUCAUUAAGUCUGGUGUUUAAGGCUGUGGCUCAACCACAGUUCGCACUGGAAACUGGUGAACUUGAGUGUAGGAGAGGAAAGUGGAAUUCCACGUGUAGCGGUGAAAUGCGUAGAGAUGUGGAGGAACACCAGUGGCGAAGGCGACUUUCUGGCCUAUAACUGACGCUGAGGCGCGAAAGCGUGGGGAGCAAACAGGAUUAGAUACCCUGGUA